UACGAAGGGGGCUAGCGUUGCUCGGAAUCACUGGGCGUAAAGGGUGCGUAGGCGGGUCUUUAAGUCAGGGGUGAAAUCCUGGAGCUCAACUCCAGAACUGCCUUUGAUACUGAGGAUCUUGAGUUCGGGAGAGGUGAGUGGAACUGCGGUGUAGAGGUGAAAUUCGUAGAUAUUCGCAAGAACACCAGUGGCGAAGGCGGCUCACUGGCCCGAUACUGACGCUGAGGCACGAAAGCGUGGGGAGCAAACAGG
rnacentral:rRNA from 1 species